rnacentral:rRNA from 1 species
CCUACGGGUGGCAGCAGUGGGGAAUAUUGGACAAUGGGCGAAAGCCUGAUCCAGCCAUGCCGCGUGUGUGAAGAAGGCCUUCGGGUUGUAAAGCACUUUCAGUGGGGAAGAAAGCCUUGGGGCUAAUACCCUCGAGGAAGGACAUCACCCACAGAAGAAGCACCGGCUAACUCCGUGCCAGCAGCCGCGGUAAUACGGAGGGUGCGAGCGUUAAUCGGAAUUACUGGGCGUAAAGCGCGCGUAGGCGGUCUGAUAAGCCGGUUGUGAAAGCCCCGGGCUCAACCUGGGAACGGCAUCCGGAACUGUCAGGCUAGAGUGCAGGAGAGGAAGGUAGAAUUCCCGGUGUAGCGGUGAAAUGCGUAGAGAUCGGGAGGAAUACCAGUGGCGAAGGCGGCCUUCUGGACUGACACUGACGCUGAGGUGCGAAAGCGUGGGAAGCAAACAGGAUUAGAUACCCCGGUAGUC